rnacentral:rRNA from 1 species
AACGAACGCUGGCGGCAUGCCUAACACAUGCAAGUCGAACGAGACCUUCGGGUCUAGUAGCUCGCGGGUUCGUAACGCGUUGGAACCUACGCUUAUGUUCUGAAUAACUCCCCGGGAGGGGUGCGAAUACCUGGUAAUGUCAUCGGACCAAAGAUUUAUCGCCUUGGGAUGUGGGCGCGUUGGGUUAGGUAGUGGGUAUGGUCAAAGCCACCCAAGGCGACGAUCCUUAUCUGGUCUGAGAGCAUGACCAGCCACACUGGGACUGCGACACGGCCCCGAACCCUACGGGAGGGAGGAGUGGAGAAUAUUGGAGACUGAGGCAAAGCGUGAUCCAGCCAUGCCGGGUGAGUCAGGAGGGCCUUAGGGUUGUAAAGCUCUUAUACAAGGAAUGAUAAUGGCAGUACCGGGAGAAUAAGCUCCGGCUAACUACGUG